UACAGAGGUCUCAAGCGUUGUUCGGAAUUACUGGGCGUAAAGCGUGCGUAGGCGGCUUGGUAAGUCAGAUGUGAAAUCCCGGGGCUCAACCUCGGAACUGCAUCCGAUACUGCCAGGCUUGAGUAGUGGAGGGGAGUCUGGAAUUCACGGUGUAGCAGUGAAAUGCGUAGAUAUCGUGAGGAACACUAGUGGCGAAGGCGAGACUCUGGACACUUACUGACGCUGAGGCACGAAGGCUAGGGUAGCGAAAGGG
rnacentral:rRNA from 1 species